rnacentral:rRNA from 1 species
CAGCAGCCGCGGUAAUACGUAGGUGGCGAGCGUUGUCCGGAAUUACUGGGUGUAAAGGGCGUGUAGGCGGGGCGUCAAGUCAGGUGUGAAAUUCCGAGGCUUAACUUCGGGUGUGCAUCUGAAACUGAUGUUCUUGAGUGUCGGAGAGGAAAGUGGAAUUCCCAGUGUAGCGGUGAAAUGCGUAGAGAUUGGGAGGAACACCAGUGGCGAAGGCGGCUUUCUGGACGAUAACUGACGCUGAGGCGCGAAAGCGUGGGUAGCAAACAGGAUUAGAUACCCUGGUAGUCCACGCCGUAAACGAUGGAUACUAGGUGUAGGAGGUAUCGACCCCUUCUGUGCCGGAGUUAACACAAUAAGUAUCCCACCUGGGGAGUACGGCCGCAAGGCUGAAACUCAAAGGAAUUGACGG